CGGACAAUGGAUUCUUUCUUGUCAAGGGACUGUUUUAGGAUUCCUCCAUAUCCAAUAUCGGAUGCGUCGGUCUCCACUAUUAAACUAACCCUUUGGUUUAUCAGCGAUAAACACAGGAUUGACUUGACAAGGGAUUUGAUUUUUUGGACUGUUUUGGUGUGUUC